rnacentral:tRNA from 1 species
GGAGCUAGGGCUCAACUGGUAGAGCAUCUGCCCAGCAAGCACGAGGUCCUGGGUUCAAACCCCACUACUGCCA